rnacentral:rRNA from 1 species
AAACCAGCUCCUCGAGUGGUCGGGAUGUUUAUUGGGCUUAAAGCGUCCGUAGCCGGCCCGGUAAGUCCUUGGUUAAAUCCGACGGCCUAACCGCCGGACUGCUGAGGAUACUGCCGGGCUUGGGGGCGGGAGAGGCCGAGGGUACUUCCGGGGUAGGGGUAAAAUCCUUUAAUCCCGGAAGGACCACCAGUGGCGAAGGCGCUCGGCUGGAACGCGCCCGACGGUGAGGGACGAAACCCAGGGGAGCGAACCGGAUUAGAUACCCUAGUAGUCC